AUACGGAGGGGGCAAGCGUUGCUCGGAAUUACUGGGCGUAAAGGGCGUGUAGGCGGAUCCGCAAGCCGGGGGUGAAAGGCCUGGGCUUAACCCGGGACGGUCUUCCGGAACUGCGGGUCUAGAGAGAGUCAGAGGCAGGUGGAAUUCCAGGUGUAGAGGUGAAAUUCGUAGAGAUCUGGAGGAACACCGGCGGCGAAGGCGGCCUGCUGGGGCUCUUCUGACGCUGAGGCGCGAAAGCGUGGGUAGCAAACAGGAUUAGAAACCCCAGUAGUCC
rnacentral:rRNA from 1 species